CCUUCGACGUUAGCGGCGGACGGGUGAGUAACACGUGGGUAACCUACCUAUAAGACUGGGAUAACUUCGGGAAACCGGAGCUAAUACCGGAUAAUAUUUCGAACCGCAUGGUUCGAUAGUGAAAGAUGUUUUGCUAUCACUUAUAGAUGGACCCGCGCCGUAUUAGCUAGUUGGUAAGGUAACGGCUUACCAAGGCGACGAUACGUAGCCGACCUGAGAGGGUGAUCGGCCACACUGGAACUGAGACACGGUCCAGACUCCUACGGGAGGCAGCAGGC
rnacentral:rRNA from 1 species